UACGUAGGGUGCAAGCGUUAAUCGGAAUUACUGGGCGUAAAGCGUGCGCAGGCGGCUUUGCAAGACAGAUGUGAAAUCCCCGGGCUCAACCUGGGAACUGCAUUUGUGACUGCAUGGCUAGAGUACGGUAGAGGGGGAUGGAAUUCCGCGUGUAGCAGUGAAAUGCGUAGAUAUGCGGAGGAACACCGAUGGCGAAGGCAAUCCCCUGGACCGGUACUGACGCUCAUGCACGAAAGCGUGGGGAGCAAACAGG
rnacentral:rRNA from 1 species